UGGCUAAAGAACUUGGUCAGCUGAUUAAAACCGGUCCUACUUUUAAUCAGUUAUUAGCUUAGUAUGUCAAUGAAAAGGUCGUUCCCCGUGACCAGCCAGCAAAGUGACCACAUUUUCCUAUCCACGGGAGAUAGGCAUGCGCAGAAGAGAAUGGGUCACCUCAGAAGAUAAGGUCGAAUGAAUCAGCCCGUGAUGUUGUCCAGCUAGUCCUAAACACACAAUCUACACCACCAACAUUAUGGACACAUGUACCUAAUUAUGCAUCUAUGUAUCCACCAGCUUACCCACCUCCUUAUGUAUUCACAUUCCCACCUCCACCAUAUAUGCCUAACCAAAUGUGGGGAGCACAUAUGUUGCACACAUAAUAUCCUUAUGGGAUUCCACAAGCAUGGGGGCAUCCCAAAUUUCAUUAUUUGACCAAUUGAGUGCUCCCCAAUCUGGUCUCCAUGCAUAUGACCAGCAAGAAUGCCGAAAUCCUCGGCCACAAAGGCUGACUAAUCCAAUAGGGGGUAUAGGGAGAAAACUCCCACAUUAACAACGCAUAUAUCCGAGUCAUCGGCUUCAAGUUCUAAAAACUGGAGAAAACGACAACCAAUAAUGUUAUUAAGGUAGGAACCACAGAUGUCAUCAUUAAUGCUAACAACGAAGAGCCGAUGAACUUUGGUGAAUCGACCAAGAGGAAGGAAAUUUCUAUGGCUACUAAUGAUAAAGCUGGUGGCAUAAUGUAACACUCCAGGUUCCACAAACAACCCGGUAUGCUACUGUACUACACUUCCGACGUCCAUAUAUAAAAUUUCGGCAGCAUCCCCUUUUGCAAGAUUGCAUAAAAGAGGGAGCAACAGAGUAUAAACAUAUAUCAUGACUAAAACAUACUAAGUAUUAUUACUCGGCUAGCAAGGAAAGAUAAACAUACGACCUGAACUGAAUUAACCAGUGCGCACAACCAUAUAAAAAAAAUAAACAAACUUCCUUUGACAAUAAGUUUCUAAUUAAAUCAUGGCUGCGCCUGGACAGCGUUAUUGUGAGAGUGAAAGUGGACGUGCUGCUACUCCCCUCAUUCCCAACAUGUAUCAAGUACCUGCAUUGAGUAAUGCAAGAGUGAGAUGACACAUCUCAGCAAGUAAAAUAAUAUCAAACAGUUUAACCACAUAAGAACAUUGUUUUACCACCACUUAAUUCCACAACCUUCUUAUUACGAAGGUGCAGCACGUAUACAACGUACAACGCACCUAGUUACCACACCUCACAGGUAGAAACCACAAUAGUAAUAUAGUAAUGUCACACUUCAUAUAUUCCUCAUGAGUGCAAAUGUCUGCAAAUGCAAGGAUGACUUCUGCCUUCAUACCUCUAAGGAUAUGAAGACGCAUCGUACCCCUCCUCGGGCAACGUACGAUGCUAAAAAUGUACCGGUACGGUCGGACCAUAAGAUCACGACAUAACUUCAAAAUGCAAGACGGAUGAUGCGAUGUGCAUGUCAUGCCUACAACACUUCAUAUAACAUGAUUCAAAAAGACACUUCAACUUCAUCCAGAUGGGAAUCAACCACAUAUAUCAUUACCAAAUUAUGAUCAUCCACAGUAUUAGACAAUUGAGAAUUAAUACUUCCAAACAAAUAAAUUUCAUCAUAGAAUUCAAUGAUUAACAUAAUUAAAACUUAUGCAUACUCAAUGACAGGGAAUAGGAUGCAAACCAAACGGUAGCAACCACCACUGUAUUUACUUGCCUUUACCGGAAGUUCGGGCAAAUCCCUAAGUACGAUCCGGAAGUCCACCACCUGUUUUUGACACCCAACUUAGUACACCAAUUUCACAUAAUCAGGCUCAUAAGCGACGCCGCACCUACGCACAAACUCAAACCCCGCCGCGGGUUACAUCUCUCCCUACACCCACCAAACUGCAGCGGCGCUGCUUAAUAAUUUCAUAACUUUAAAAUUAUGACAGCAGUGGUAACAAACAAAAACUCCAGAGGCAUCUACAUAAAAUUCCCCACAAGUUUUGUAUACAAUUUAUAAUUAAAUUCCAAUAUCUAAUUAGCCCAAAACAGUCCACAAGAUGAACCCUGUAAUCUGUUUUUCUUUGUCUUUUGGACAGCGACAUACCCAGAUUCAAACAGCGAUAUCUUUUAAAAUAUAAUUCCAAAUCAAGCGCAUAAGUACUCAUUGGAAAGAUAAGACAAAUCCCUACAUGAUUAACAUACUGGUUAACACUAAUUACCCACGAAAAAUUCCCAGAAACUGCUAAUACCACUGCUGUUCACCCACCUGAAAAAUCUGUUUUUUUGGACAGCAACAUAACCGGAUUCAAACAACGAUAUCUCCUGAAUUAUAACUCCGAAUCGAGCGCAUAAGUACUUGUUGGAAAGAUAACAUAAAGCCCUACAUGAUUCUCAUACUGAUUAACACUAAUUACUCCCGAAAAAAUCUCCAGAAACUGCUAAUACUGCUGCUGUUCAUCCCCCUGAAAAUCUGUUUUUUUGGACAACCACAUACCCGGAUUCAAACGGUGAUAACUUUCAAUUUGUAACUCCAAAUUGAGCGCAUAAAUACUCGUUGGAAAGGUAAGGUAAAGUUCUACAUGAUCCCCAAACUGAUUUCCCUUAAUUCCUCACGAAAAAAACACAUAAACUGCUAGACUACUGCUGUUCACCCACCACCUAAAAUUCUGGACAGCCCCCUCUACCCAAUCGCAAACGCAACCUCUAAUCAAUUAAAUUGCAGCGCAAAUGAACAAGGGAUGAACACAAAAAUCACCUUGGAUUCUCCCCCUUUCCUUCCUCCCUUCUUCCCUCCACCAAAACGAUUGAAGACUCGCACCACGACGACGAUGAUCCGAGCGGCAAGGAUUGGCACCUUGGGAGGAGGGGAUUGAGAGGGGGGGGCGGCUAGGGUUUGGUGGCUGCAAGAAUUGAGAGAGGAGGAGAUGGGCAGGGGGGCGG
rnacentral:lncRNA from 1 species